CACUCCUACGGGAGGCAGCAGUGGGGAAUAUUGGACAAUGGGCGCAAGCCUGAUCCAGCCAUGCCGCGUGAGUGAUGAAGGCCCUAGGGUUGUAAAGCUCUUUCACCGGUGAAGAUAAUGACGGUAACCGGAGAAGAAGCCCGGCUAACUUCGUGCCAGCAGCCGCGGUAAUACGAAGGGGGCUAGCGUUGUUCGGAUUUACUGGGCGUAAAGCGCACGUAGGCGGACUAUUAAGUCAGGGGUGAAAUCCCGGGGCUCAACCCCGGAACUGCCUUUGAUACUGGUAGUCUUGAGUUCGAGAGAGGUGAGUGGAAUUCCGAGUGUAGAGGUGAAAUUCGUAGAUAUUCGGAGGAACACCAGUGGCGAAGGCGGCUCACUGGCUCGAUACUGACGCUGAGGUGCGAAAGCGUGGGGAGCAAACAGGAUUAGAUACCCGGGUAGUCC
rnacentral:rRNA from 1 species